rnacentral:rRNA from 1 species
GACGAACGCUGGCGGCGUGCUUAACACAUGCAAGUCGAACGAUGAACCCGGAGCUUGCUCUGGGGGAUUAGUGGCGAACGGGUGAGUAACACGUGAGUAACCUGCCCUGGACUCUGGGAUAAGCGUUGGAAACGACGUCUAAUACCGGAUAGGACCUUGGAUCGCAUGAUCUGGGGUGGAAAGUUUUUUCGGUCUGGGAUGGACUCGCGGCCUAUCAGCUUGUUGGUGAGGUAAUGGCUCACCAAGGCGUCGACGGGUAGCCGGCCUGAGAGGGUGACCGGCCACACUGGGACUGAGACACGGCCCAGACUCCUACGGGAGGCAGCAGUGGGGAAUAUUGCACAAUGGGCGAAAGCCUGAUGCAGCAACGCCGCGUGCGGGAUGACGGCCUUCGGGUUGUAAACCGCUUUUAGUAGGGAAGAAGGGCUUCGGCCUGACGGUACCUGCAGAAAAAGGACCGGCUAACUACGUG